UUCUUGACAAAGAAAAAGCCCAAUAAGACUACCUCACACCCCGAGUUGACUCGACCGAGUUCACCACUCGCUUACCUUACAAUCCCCGCAACCCCCAUCCCCCCUCUGUCUUCUUCUUCUUCUUCCUUUUCUUUUUUGUCAAUUUUUGUUUCGAAAAUUUGUUGAUAAUAAAAAUGAUGGGCCAUGAAGAAGCUGACGUGCACGAAUCCCGAGAAGAAAUGGAAUCUUUGGUCCUCGACGAGCCAUCCAACGGCCGAUCUUCCUCCGAUGAUCCGCUGCUAUCGUCUGCAUCGUCUUCCUUCGUAGACCGUCAGAGCCCUAACUCUUCCUUCAACGCCUUCCUGGACCCACCGUCCUACGCCGAAGCGAUCUUCACCUCCUUCGAUUCCUCAUCCAACGGCCACGAUGAAAGCCCCCGACUUUCCUCCAACUCCAACCCUCGGAGCUCCGAUUAUCUCCACAUCUCGGUCUCGGACCCGCAAAAGGAGCAGGAGCUAUCCAAUUCGCUGGUCCCGGGUGGAACCACGUAUUACACGUACUUAAUCACGACGAGGACGAACCUACCCGAAUUCGGCGGACCCGGGUCCGAAUUCACCCUCCGGAGGCGGUUCCGGGACGUGGUGACGCUAUCGGACCGGUUAUCGGAGUCGUACCGGGGGUACUUCAUACCGAUCCGACCCGACAAGAGUGUGGUGGAGAGCCAGGUGAUGUCAAAGCAGGAAUUCGUGGAGCAGAGGAGGGUAUUACUGGAAAAGUACCUCCGGAGAUUGGCGGCGCACCCGGCGAUCCGGCGGAGCGAGGAAUUUAGGGUGUUUUUGGAGGUGAAAGGGAAGUUGCCACUGGCGAGGAGCAUCGACGUGGCUUCGAGGGUGAUCGACGGGGCGGCGAGGCUGCCGAGGCAGUUAUUGGGCGACGAGGCGAUGGAUGCUAGUGCCAAGGGCGGUAGGGACUUGCUGAGGAUGUUUAAGGAGUUGAAGCAGGCGAUGACGAACGAUUGGGGCGGCACGAAGCCGCUGGUGGUGGAGGAGGAUAAGGAGUUCUUGGAGAGGAAGGAGAGGUUGGUGGAGUUUGAGAACCAACUUAGCAAUGUCUCGCUACAGGCUGAAUCGCUUGUUAAAGCCCAGCAAGACAUUGGAGAGACAAUGGGGGAGUUAGGAUUGGCGUUUGUUAAGCUGACCAAGUUUGAGACGGAGGAAGCAUUGUUUGAGUCUCAAAGAGUACGAGCCACUGAUAUGAAAAAUGUGGCGACUGCUGCUGUUAAAGCUAGUAGAUUGUACCGGGAGUUAAAUUCGCAGACGGUCAAACAUUUGGAUAAACUCCAUGAUUAUCUUGGAAUAAUGUUAGCUGUCAACAAUGCAUUUUCUGACCGAACAAGUGCUUUACUAACAGUUCAGACUCUUUCAUCGGAAUUAGCUUCCUUGCAUUCAAGGAUUGAGAAGCUUGAAGCUGCUUCAUUGAAAAUAUUUGGUGGUGACAGGUCCAGAAUACGCAAAAUAGAAGAGUUGAAAGAAACCAUUAGAGUUACCGAAGAUGCUAAAACUUGUGCAGAGAGAGAAUAUGAACAAAUCAAGGAAAAUAACAGGAGUGAGCUUGAAAGACUUGACAAAGAGAGGCAUGAUGACUUCAUGAGCAUGUUGAGAGGGUUUGUUGUGAAUCAGGCAGGUUAUGCAGAGAAUAUGGCAAAUGUGUGGGAGAAGCUUGCAGAAGAAACUGAUCGUUUGUGAAAGAUGGCAGCUGAAAUACUUGGCUGUAAAUUUUGGUUUUUCAAACUUUCCUUUGUACUUCGUCGUGUAAUUCAUGUAUGUACAGUAGUUGGAAUGCUCAUCAAGCUUUACACUUGCUAAGUUGAGUUGACCAUUACCUCCAUUGUCAUUUCCUAAUGUCCAAGAAUCUUUUCCUAUUGAAUUUUUUACACUGGCUCUCUGCUUGAAGCGACCGUCCUUGCUUUUUGCUCGGACCAGGUAAUUUGAAAUUACCCAAAAUGUUUUGCAAGAGAAGGAAAAGGUCGUUCAUUCAACCAUUCCCUAGAGAUUAUUUCAUUGUUAAAUAUCCGAGAAGGCAGAUGGGUAGGAUCUCAGAUGACAUUUCUUUUAGACUAAGCUCUGAUUCAUGGAAAGAAGACUUGACCUAGCUAGAAUGUAAUGCUAUGGUACCUUUUCUCAUUGUGAGUGUGUACAAAGUAUGCGUGUACAAAUAACACAACUCAUUUAUUUUAUGGUCCAAAUUAGAUUUCACAAA